GCGAUUUCCUGCAGGGAGAGAACUAACUUCUCAGAGCUCUUUCUUCUUUCGUGUGACUCCAAAAGCCUGUGUGCCUGAACACUCACAGAAACAGACACGGAAACCCGGCACACAGCCUUGGAAAACCCCUGGAGGUUUUCCACGCUACCAAGGGUUGAAGACCUCUGCUCAAUCUGGGAAAAUCCAAUGUUCAUUACACACGCCAAUCAGACUUCACCUCUCAGCUAGCGGGCCCAUGGUUUUCUGAUUGGUCGAUCAGAGCAAACCUGUUCAACAAGCAAGUUCCACCCACGAUGGCUGACUAAGGAGGAAUUGACAUCUAUGAUCACCGCUGCGAAAGAACACACAGGGGAGCCCAAGAAAGUUGCAAUUGCCAGCAUUUUGAUAAGGAAGGUGAGAAACACUACUGAAUUCAGGGAGUAACUCAUCGCAAAACACGAAGAUGGUGUUGAUCCGUAUUCAUCCCUCGCUGCUGCCUCAUAGCCGUCUUUGUCAACAAUCAAGUCAAAUUAUUUUCUGCACGAAAAACUAUAAUUGUAAAACCAUUUCAGAAUGUGUUUUGUGUGAACAUUUUUGGGUGUCCGGAACGCAUACAUUUGAUUUACAUUAUUUUUUAUGGCAAAGAUUGAUUCAGUUAGCGUACGUUCCGGUUUCAGUCAGACCUUCUGGGACAGAUUAAUGAUGCUAACCAAGGUCCCACAAAAAAAUCUACCAUAAACGUGUAAUGGGUAAUCUUCCAAAAUCAGCAGGGGAUCAAAUAUUUAUUUCCCCCUCUGUAUAUUAAAUGUGUUUGGGGAGCAUGGGCAUUU